UGGGCUUGACAUGCCCGGAAUCCUGCAGAGAUGCGGGAGUGCCCUUCGGGGAAUCGGAACAC
rnacentral:rRNA from 1 species